UAUGUGAUCGUCUCUCGCAUAUCAAUAAGCGGAGGAAAAGAAACUAACAAGGAUUCCCCUAGUAACGGCGAGUGGAGCGGGAAGAGCUCAAAUUUGAAAUCUUAAAGGGUUUCCCUUUACGAAUUGUAGUUUAAAGAAGUGUUUUCUGUUGAGGUUUUGGUAAAAGCUCUUUGGAAUAGGACAUCAUAGAGGGUGAGAAUCCCGUAUUUGACCUUUACUUUCAACUUUGUGAUACACUUUCAAAGAGUCGGAUUGUUUGGGAAUGCAGUCCAAAAUGGGUGGUAAAUUUCAUCUAAAGCUAAAUAUUGGCGAGAGACCGAUAGCGAACAAGUACCGUGAGGGAAAGAUGAAAAGAACUUUGAAAAGAGAGUUAAACAGUACGUGAAAUUGUCAAAAGGGAAGCGUUUGACACCAGUGUUGUUUUUCUGAAAAUCAAUUAAAGAACUGUUUAUGCUAAGUUGUUUAGACUUUAUCAGCUAACUGUUUAGUUUUGAGCUUUUCUUUAAUGCACUUUUCAGUUAACAAGUCAACAUCAAUUUCUUUUGCUGUAAAAAAGCUUGAGGAAGGUGGCUUGAGAUUCGUCUUAAGUGUUUAUAGCCUCUUGCCUAUGCAGUCGGAGAGAUUGAGGUCUGCAGCGUAGAUCCUUCGGGGCUAAAUGCAUUUGUGCUAAGUUAUAGCAUUUUAUAGACAACUUGUUGACUAUGAUUUGUCUUGUAGCUUACUCGCUUAUGUUAUUUUACCUACGCUUAGGAUGUUGAUAUCGCGCUCUCACUG
rnacentral:rRNA from 1 species